GCGUGGACCCUGAGUGCCGUCGGAAAGGCGUUAGCGCCCACGGGGUCACAACCCAGCUUGCUGGAAGGAAACUUGGGGACAUCUGUAAGGAGAGGAAUAGGAAGGACCCGAGGAGAAGCAGUAAAGGAGGGCGUUGCGGAUCCUUUGGAGCCACGGACUGGAACUGCCAUGCAAGACCUCUACCAACUGAGGGUUUCAUGAGCGCACUCCCUUGCCAAGAUCUUGGUGAAUAGUCUUUCACUGUGCAAUUGUGUCUUAGACAUUGUUUUACUUGUUAUCAUGAUUGUGCUUGGCUGGAUGCUUUUUGUUGGACUUGCGUGUUACAUGGGCACAUUUCCAGAGUUCACGCCUCCAACUCUGAAGUGGAAAGAGAAGUGGCCUGUUCAGGAGAGCAAGACACGGCUGAGGAGCCUGGCUUUGGAUGAAGAACCACAACUAUGAGAACCAUGUGGAAAGGAUAUAAGUAUCCCCCAGGAGGGACCCCGGUGGAAAUAAGCAAAGAUGAUCCUGGUGAAGUCAUGCAGCUCUGAAGCUCACCUGGCCUGCUGUAGAGUUCCUGUUGUUGGUUUCGCAUAAAUUUCUUCAAAGGUUUGUGAGCUUUUUGUAAGAGCCGUCAGGAAUUGCAGAACAAAACGGAAGACAGGAUUUGGAAACAAGGCCAAGAUUAAUUUAAAAGACUUUCUCAGGACUUUCUUUUUAAAUGAGCUACAGAAGUGCCCUUUUAUAAUGUUGAUGCCGAGGAAUAAUAUAAUCAACAUCUGUAGAAGAAAUGCACUCAAAAGUGGUAGAUGCCUAAGGACACGACCGGACUCUUCCUGUGAAGUUCUAGAACUUUUAUCUAGCACAGUGGUGCCUUUCUGUACAAAUAACUGCACGUCGAAUAAAGUGCUAGUAAACGUUAAGCCACCAGAAAUCUUUCAGCUAUGAUAAGCACUUGAUUGUAAUAGAUUUUCAGAGUCUAAAUACUGAAAAAAUAUAUCCCAGAAAACAACUUUUGUAGGGGUGGGGCGGGAGGAAGCACAAAAGUGACAGCAAAGGAAAUAAUGUUCCAAACCUGUUUUAUUACGUGGAACACCACACUACCCUUAAAUCAAUUUCACUGAAGAUAUUUUGAGAUGGGUGAGAGGCAGUCAACAGGAUUUUCUGCCAGUGUGACAAUUCUAUGUAGAUCAUUAGAGUGUUACUCCUGGUGAUGAAGACCUCUUUCAGAGGAUUCAGCUUCAAAGUUAAAUGCUUGCACUUUCGAAAUGUGAAACUCAAUUCAAAAUGAGUCAGUCUUAAGGGACUAGGUCAAAUGGUUGUCCCAUUAAGGGAGGUAACAACAGUAAUGUAUACCACCCAAACUUGGAGAAUAAAGAAAGCUUUAUGGAUAAAAAGGAAUACACCAAAACAACUUUUGGAACUGCUCUUCAAGCUUAUGUCCCACUGUCCCCAGCCCUCCAUAUUUAGAAUUAAGGACAAAAGCUCUCUAGCGUCAUCAUAUCUCAUUUUCUGUUGCUGACUUUUCCUUGAGACUUGGCUUCUCUCCAGCCAGAACCCAGGUCAGCCUGAUUGGAAUUGCCUGGGUUUGAGGCUUACGAGAUCUCAAGUGUAAAAAUAGGACUUGGAAAAAAGUGAGAAUGAAGAAAGUUCCACAGCCUGGUAAAGCACCAGUAGCAGGCAACGUCCUUUUCUACCUGGGAAAAAAAUCUCUUCACAGUGCAUAGUUUGAAAUAAAAGUGCAAUAUGGGCAAAAAGAGAAGGUGGUGCUCUCAAUAUACGUGAAUUUAGUUUUUGGCUUUUGGCAUUAAUUGCUAAAGAAUUUAAGAUAAAAUGCAGUCGUUAACAUCAAGAGGUACAGGGGCACCUUUUUCCAAAAUAUCUUUCUAGAGAGGGAGGAGGGGAGUCUCACAUGUCACUUCCUUAUUUUUUAAACUAUUACUCUUCCAAAUCUAAUGUUUGAAUAAAAUAAGCAUUUUUCUUCAGUAUAAAAAUGACUUUUCUUAGAUAAAAAUCAAUUAGCACAGUGACCUUGUCUAUUUUACGCUAAAGCCAACGUAACAGUAAAUUUGAAAGGAAAACCUGGAAACAGAUUAUUUUUAAACUAAAUGGCAUAACUUGCAUUUUAACUGGAAAAAAAAAUUUGUUAAUUGCCUUACCACCUAAAUUAGUGAAUAAGAAUGCUCGGCAUCCAAUCCAUGAAUAAUGUAAAAUACGAUAUAAUUUAUUCUACUUUUUACUUCAAAGUCACAGAGAUGACAUCCAUACGAUAAUUAUAGAGCCUACUCUACAUUUUCAAGUUCUCAAUCCAAACAUAUACAUUAGGACAGGUCACUUUAUUGCUGGCAACAUUCAUGGAAGGGCCAGGUUCCUCAUUAAAAGACAAAGUUUGAUUGGGAGCUGGGCAGUGCUCUACUCACAUCAGCAGAACAUGAAGAGGCAAUCCUUUUUUUUUUUUUUUUUCCUUUUCAAAAUAGCAAAGGAACAA